rnacentral:misc_RNA from 1 species
UCAUUCAAUUUGGCUUCUUCGUUGUUGAAUUUCUGCAGAUUUAAGAAAAAAUUGAAUUCUAUGUAUUAUUGCAUUUUAUGAUUGAUAUAUAGGUAAAUAUCAACUGUUUCAGUUAUUCCAUCAAUGGCUUCGUGGCUCAGAGCUGCUGAAGAUUUGUUUGAAGUUGUAGAUAAGAGGGCAAAGAGUGUAGUCGGCGAGAAUUCUGAUGAACAGCCCAAUGUUCGGGGUCCAGUUCCGAAUGAAAAAGGAUCUCAACCAAAAAGGUCAAGGAUUAAAAAGAAGCCUCAAAAACGACUCUCUUCUAAUGAACCUUCAGAACCAGUCAAUUUUGAAAGGGAACAAACUAGCCAAGGGAUGUCACAGUCAGAUAUUGCCUCUGAUAAAGAUAAAGCUAUCGUACUUACUGAAGACAGUAGGACAAAUCCAGGUAGUCCUAGCAGUAAAACUAGCACCGAAGAUAAGCCAAAAGUUUCUGAAGAUGGUGUGUCAUUGGAUGCUCCUAUAUCAGAAACAGCAUCUAACAAUGAGUUAAAUCAUCAUGCUGAUCACGUGGAAGCAGCAGAACCUGUUGAUGUAAGAGCCGUGAGUUCAGAAUCUACUGGUGAGCAUACAAGUGGAAACACCCCAGAUAUUUCUGGAGAGACUCUUCUCUUGCCUACUGCAGAAGUGGUUGAUAGUGUGCAGG